GUCAAUCUGUCCAGCCUGUGGAUCGUCCUAAGAUUCUUCAAGUUGUACUCUUUGGCCAAAAUGAAGACGACAGUGUUGUGUCUAUAACGUCCACAUGGAUGAACCUGUAUUAGUAGGCAAAGAACGAAGGUGUUAAAAUCGAGAAAAAGGAUGAUCCAUCGUUCUGUCACACUUUACAAGGAUCGUGAUAAAGAAAUAAAUGUAAAAUGUACACACACACAGAAACGUAUUCGACGAAGAGGACUCAUGGUAAUCAACGUUGAAUCUCCAGUGGAAUUAGUCAACGACAAAACGUCCUCUCACGAGAUACAUCGUAUUGAGAAGGGAUAGGUAGGAAGCUUUAUGCAAAA
rnacentral:lncRNA from 1 species